rnacentral:rRNA from 1 species
AGGUCAGCAUACUGCGGUGAAUACGUUCCCGGGCCUUGUACACACCGCCCGUCACACCAUGGAAGUUGGCCAUGCCCGAAGUCGUUACUCUAACCUUUUGGAAGAGGGCGCCGAAGGCAGGGCUAAUGACUGGGGUGAAGUCGUAACAAGGUAGCCGUAGCGGAAGCUGCGGCUGGAUCACCUCCUAA